GCCUCAGAGCACGAUGAAAAGCUUGCUGAUAAGCUCUGUUGGGGAGGUCUCAGCCCAGGCCAGAGCUUUGAGGUGAGAAAUAACAAGUCCAGUUUAAAUAGUGCUGCUGGGACAGACUUUUGUGGCCAGGGAAGGGAUACCCAGGAGCCAGUGUGGCCACUGACCCAGCCACAUCAAUGGCCCUAGGACCCAGAAUGCUACAAACAAUGGAGCAAGAAUCAGGUCCGUGUGUCUGGGUAUGUGUGCACACGUCCACCAGAAGACAUGUAUUGGAAGGUGCAUUGCAGUGCUGUUCAAAAUAGCCUCAAUCUGGUCUGACGGUGGGAGCUGCAGGUUCGGUGACUCAGUCGAGACCACAGUGGGAAAGGAGCCAAGGCAAGGCCAGCAUCCAGGUGUGUGGCCUCCACAUCCUGCCACCGACACUGCCUCUUCCUUAGACGAAUGUCCCCAAGGAGCGUGUGUUAUCCCAAAUUAAUGAGAGACUCUAAUGACUGAGGCUCUUGGCUCUCCAAGAUUGGAUACCUCUCUGGGCCUUUCUGAUGCUAGGGGGAUGACUCUAGCACACUGCAAAGCUGCUGGAAGUUUUCUGCACCACACUCUACUUGGCCAGAGGACCAGCUGACUAAAAGACCCUGGCUGCCUUUCAUUGCUGUUCCAGUAAUGCUGAUAGCUCUGCAUCCUGCACAUAGGAAGGGACCUUGACUUCUCGUUGAUUUGCUGUUGUUUCUCCAGCCCCUGGCACAGCCCUUGCUCGUAGCAGGCCCUCAAGAAAAGGCCAUGUGAGGACACAGCAAGAAGAUGGUCAUCUGCAAGCUAGAAAGAGCACCCUCAGCAGAAACCAAUCCUACUGUCACCCUGGCCUCAGACUUCCAGUCUCCAGGACUAUGAGAAAAUAAAUCUCUUGCUUAAGCCACUCAAUCUGGACUAUUUUGUUAUGGCAGCCUGAGCUGGCUAAUACACAUUCCUAUUUACAAACAAAUAAAUAAUGUGUGCGGGCUGAUUCAGCCAGUGGCAAGUUUGCAGCCUGUAAUACUCAAAGGCAUUCAUGGUCCAGCGUUCAGGUGCCAAAAUGCUCUGCAGAUAAAGAGGAAUGUCCAGGGUUUUGAAGACAACAGCAGGAAGGAACAGCAUAUGACCAUCUGGCCUGAGGAUGUGAUCCUGAAAGAAUGGGCUUUGUAUGUGAAGUUGAAGACAUAAUGGUCUAGGAGGAGCAGCGGGGAUUAGGAGGAAUUUCAGCCUGUGUCUGCCCCUCCUGUGAGAACAAGCCUGUCAGGAAGUGGCACCCUCAGGGGACAGCAGAGCCUCAGCAGGGAGGAUGAAGGGAGCUGAAUGAGAGGUUCAGGGUAGAGGAAUGAUAUGGUUUGGCUGUGUCCCCCACAAAUCUCAUCUUGAAUUGUAGCUCCCACAAUUCCCACGUUGUUGUGGGAGGGACCCA